rnacentral:rRNA from 1 species
GACGAACGCUGGCGGCGUGCUUAACACAUGCAAGUCGAACGGAAAGGCCCUGCUUUUGUGGGGUGCUCGAGUGGCGAACGGGUGAGUAACACGUGAGUAACCUGCCCUUGACUUUGGGAUAACUUCAGGAAACUGGGGCUAAUACCGGAUAGGAGCCCCUGCUGCAUGGUGGGGGUUGGAAAGUUUCGGCGGUUGGGGAUGGACUCGCGGCUUAUCAGCUUGUUGGUGGGGUAGUGGCUUACCAAGGCUUUGACGGGUAGCCGGCCUGAGAGGGUGACCGGCCACAGGGGGACUGAGAUACGGCCCAGACUCCUACGGGAGGCAGCAGUGGGGAAUAUUGCACAAGGGGCGGGAGCCUGAUGCAGCAACGCCGCGUGCGGGAUGACGGCCUUCGGGUUGUAAACCGCUUUCGCCUGUGACGAAGCGUGAGGGACGGUAAGGGGAAAAGAAGCACCGGCUAACUACGU